rnacentral:rRNA from 1 species
AUAGGGAAUCUUACCUGCCCAAUGAUAAAGAUUAAAUGGCCGCGGUACUUUGACCGUGCGAAGGUAGCAUAAUAAUUUGCCUUAUAAUUGAAGGCUGGAAUGAAUGGUUUGACAAGAGUUUAGCUGUCUCUAGUAAAUUUUUUAGAAUUUUAUGUUUAUGUGAAGAAUCAUAAAUUUUAUUAAAAGACAAGAAGACCCUGUUGAGCUUAAAUAUAAUUAGGUAUUAGUAAUUUAGAACUUGAAAUAUGUUUUUGUUGGGGCGACUGAGGAACAUGUAGAAGCUUCCUUAAUUGUAAUGUAYUGAUAGAWGUCGGUCCGUUAAGUGACGAGUAGUAGAAAGAGUUACCACAGGGAUAACAGCAUUAUUUUGUUUGAGAGUUMUUAUUGAAAUCAAAGUUUGUGACCUCGAUGUUGGAUCAAAAUGUCCUAAGGGGGUAGAAU